GUGCUCACUUUGGCAGCACGUAUACUAAAAUUGGAAUGAUACAGAGAAGAUUAGCAUGGCCCCUGCACAAGGAUGACACGCAAAUUCAUGAAGCAUUCCAUAUUUUU
rnacentral:snRNA from 1 species